UAAGUCACCUGGCAGGGAGGUACCACGAUCACAAAGGUGACUUUGCCAGGGGGAGGUGUAUCCAUUGCACUCCCAUAUGCUCACCCCUGUGUUCCCCAAAUGUGGGAAACUCAACUGCAUAAUUUGUGGUAAUGGAGGACUGUGUUCAAGCUCUCUCCUG